AGUUCUGUGGACCGAGUGGUCAAAGGCAGCUGACUAAGAUUCAGUUCAUCGUGGGUUCGAAUCCCAUCAGAACUA
rnacentral:tRNA from 1 species